UAUAAACUUUACUUUUUCCCAACACAGACAAUCUUAUUUACUAAAUUGUCUUUUUUUUUUUCUGGCCUAGUCUCCCACUGGUGGAGGCACUAAGCUUUACUAUGGUCAAGGCGCAAAGUCUUGUCCUAAGUAGGUGGAAUAGUUCUCCACUGAGGGGGAGCACUAGUAGGCCUUAUUCUGGCCAAGGCUUCAAACUCUUGUCAUAAGUAAAAGGUAUACUAGGUUAAACAUCAUCUCCAGAUCUUCCAAAGGAGUGUCAUAGAGAAUCAACAGAUUGAACUUUGAUGGCCAGGAGAACCGCUUGCAACAGUUCAAGCCACCAGAGCCGGUGCUUUGCAUUGGUGGAUAUCUGCAGAUUGAACCAUUGGGCAGCGCUCUGAGAUGUGACAUCGACGACUUAUUUUACAUACUCAUUUGCCACGUGAAAGCUAGAGGGCGGCCACUUUAUUCCUUUGGCGUAAAGAACAUCGAACCGUCUGGAGACUUUGUGCUACAGCACUAAUUCUGAGCCAUGUUGCAAAGCUUGUCUAAAGGAAUUCAUCCAAGAUACGAGUGUUCCUGCAAUAACGUUCGAAGUAGUUGUGCUUGAACAUGCAGGUCUAUUAAAGUUUAGUAAAAGGAUUACCGGCCGUGUUUUUGGACCCAUGACGUGGAAUGAUGACGGCAAUUAGAUGGACCAGAAAGUAAUUCGAUGUAUUUGAUAUGAAAGAGAAUGUUCUCUGGUAGUUCAUUUGAAAUAGUUUCUAAAUUUUAGAAAGUAUUAGAUGGUGAGAGAAAGUUUCUCCAUAUCAAACGCCCUUUGUAGCUUAAUGUCAUGGUUUUCCCUUCUUUUAGUUCUCUACAUCACUUUCCAAGUAAAUUCCCUCCAUUCUCUCUGAUCAUCUGUUACUAAGUUUUGCACCGGUGCUUUUUAGUUCUAGAGCUGCAUAAAUUCCUUUGUAGAUGA